rnacentral:lncRNA from 1 species
AUUUGUUUUAUAUUAAAGCCAUUUAGAGACCAUGCUAAAAAAUUUUCUGAGUUCCGGUUAAGAUGGAUAUUUUUCUAGGCUAUGUAGUUAUGAUAGGAGGAGGAGGGACGCAGGAAAGAGAGAGUGAUGCUGAUCGAUUUUUGGCCCUUUAAGAUUUUAAAAAAAUAAAAAUAAAAACACCCGUAUGUAGAUGAAGAAGGAGCACGUGAAGGAGAGAGGGCGAUAUAUGCUGGUUGUUUUGGCUCUUUUAAGGUUUCCAAAAAAUACACCCAUGUACGGAAGAAGAAGGGACAAGU